UCUGACCUUGCUGACCUCGCAGG
rnacentral:miRNA from 1 species